AGCCACAAAUGAUGGAACUCAGUUCCUCUAAGAAAAGAAAAUCAGUCCAUUUUUCAUCUCAUUCUUUUCCUCAAGUUUCUGGGAGGUGGAAGCCAAGCUAAUUAAAAUGUUCUGCCGCACAAAAAUGGCUGUAGCUCCAGUCCAGAACUCACUCCAACUUUACCCUGUCGACAUCGGUCAUCACGCCUUCAAGCUGUACGAGAACAGGCAUCAGCAUGCAAACUACAGGAAAGUAACGGGUUCCAAAACUUCAAUUCAUGAUCCACCACAAAUAUCCAAGACAGUGAAAUGUAGACUGCAGUAAUAUCGGUCUGUCCUACACAGCAUAAAAAAGCAAGCAUAUUCCUGGUGAGCAUACUUGCACGCCACAUGAGGCUGCGACCACCUUGAACUCAUUUUCACUCAAUUUGGCUAUGCUCAAUUCAUACUCAACAAUAAACAACCUCAAUCAGAUUUUCUAAACAAAGUUCAGGACCAUGGGGCUAGGAUGGAAUCAGUGAGCAAAUUUGAGUUGAACUGUCAAGCUUAACAGCUAUACAAUCAUAACAAGCUCAGGCUUAUAACAUCAACUAGAAUUUAUACGAUCAUAACAAGCUCAGGCCUAUAACAUCAACUAGACUUUCUGUAUAGAUGCACGAACAGAACAUGUUGUGCCUGCAAGGCUUGACCUCCAAAAUGGCAAGUUGAACCCUAAUAACUGCCAAAGCUCAGGAUGCCUAUAGGCUUCAGAUUGUGUCAGUGCCCACAAGACACUGACCAAAUUUGCUACUAAACAAGCUUACCCACUAUACUAUUUAAUUCGUUCAAAA